ACGCUCGACACCUACGUGAGGCAGCAGUGAGGAAUAUUGGUCAAUGGGCGCUAGCCUGAACCAGCCAAGUAGCGUGAAGGAUGAAGGCUCUAUGGGUCGUAAACUUCUUUUAUAUAAGAAUAAAGUGCAGUAUGUAUACUGUUUUGUAUGUAUUAUAUGAAUAAGGAUCGGCUAACUCCGUGCCAGCAGCCGGCGGUAAUCUGAGGCGGGCUGGCAAGGC
rnacentral:rRNA from 1 species